rnacentral:rRNA from 1 species
UUAUGGCUCAGGAUGAACGCGUAGACGGCAGGCGUUAACACGAUGCAAGUCGAGGGGCAUCGGAGUAGCAAUACUGCCGGCGACCGGCGCAAGGGUGCGUAACGCGUGAGCAACAUGCCCGUAUCAGGGGGAUAAUCCAUGGAAACGUGGUCUAAUACCCCAUAGUAAUUAUGUAAGGCAUCUUAUAUAAUUUAAAGCUUUGGUGGAUACGGAUUGGCUCGCGUGACAUUAGCUGGAUGGUAAGGUAACGGCUUACCAUGGCUACGAUGUCUAGGGGUUCUGAGAGGAAGGUCCCCCCACACUGGAACUGAGACACGGUCCAGACUCCUACGGGAGGCAGCAGUGAGGAAUAUUGGACAAUGGAUGGAAAUCUGAUCCAGCCAUGCCGCGUGCAAGGAAGACGGCCCUAUGGGUUGUAAACUGCUUUUGUAUGGGAGCAAUAAGGGCUACGUGUAGUCCGAUGAGAGUACCAUACGAAUAAGCACCGGCUAACUCCGUGCCAGCCGCCGC